UCGAGUACACAGACUGUCAAAAACAUUUGUACUGUUUACAUAAUUAUUGAGCUUGUAAACAAAACAAACUGACACCCCAUAUCAAGCAUUUUUAAAAACUUAAAGUGAUUCUUGUUUUGGCUAAUCAAAAUAACACGACCGAAAUAUGGUGUGAAUGAUAAUAAAUCUCUGCAGUUAUCUGAAGGAGAAACUCACCGGAAAGUCGAAGGACAAACGUGAUGUUACCCUGAUAACUGAAGAGAAACCAAAAUCUACCUCAAUGUAUGGACAAGGCCAUGACACUUACAGGGAAAGCCAAUAUAGACAAGAUCAAAAUGGAACGAGAAAGACCAGUGCAGCAAUGCCAACAAUACCAAAUGGAUAAAAAUAAUAACAUUUCAACAUAUUUCAGAUUGCACCAUAUAAUGUAGAGUUUUAUUUAUUUGAAAUACAUUCCAUGAAGGAUUUACCUUAAACUUGAACAAAGAUUGGUAUAACUGGAUGUAUUCCUUGUAUAUUCAAAUAAAUAUUACUGUUUCAUUGUUUUGUGUGAUUAAUCAAUAUUUAUUAAGUCUUUUAAAGACAUUUGAUACUAUUUUGUCAUUUUGUUGAACUGUGUUUUACAUGUAUUAAAUUUGAUUAAUGUUUA